rnacentral:tRNA from 1 species
UGGGGCGUGGCCAAGCGGUAAGGCAGCGGCCUUUGGAGCCGCCAUCGUAGGUUCGAAUCCUACCGCCCCAGCCA